GCGGGAAUAGCUUAGUUGGUUAGAGCACUCGGCUGAUAACCGAGAGGUCAAUGGUUCAAAUCCAUUUUCUCGCACCA
rnacentral:tRNA from 1 species